rnacentral:lncRNA from 1 species
AUUUUGCUGUCUCCAGGUGCUAGCAGCCUGCCCAGAACUGGAGACGUCUUUUCUGUGUUCAUGGAGGAUGAAGAAGGAGUUCCAUCAGAGUAAGGAACUGAUUCCACAUUGCAAGCUCCCAAUUCCAAAUCCCACAUCCAGUCUCUAGGACUUGGCAUUGGCUCAUAUUUGGAGAUGGUGUUGUGAGAUGUUAAGUGAAACUUAAACAGAAGAGAUGCUCUGAUCAUGUGUGAAUGUGCCUUAUCAAGGAAAUGAACAGAAAAACAGACACAUAGAAAAACAGCAGCACAUUGCUGGGGGAACUCACUUUCACUGUGUUCCAUGAAGAGGGGAAGAACACAACAAGGUGGUAAGCAGAGAGAUCAGAAGGGCUCUGACCUGCGUGAGCCCUGCUUGUAGCCUAACCUUGUGAUCUGGGGAAGAAAUCUUAUGAUCUAGACCUGUCUCUUUUUGUUUAUACCAUGAAGAAUAUUAAGCUUAUAUCCUUUAAUUGUUAACACCAAUUAAAAUAAGUAUGGCCAAAUUCUAUACACUGACCUGUCCAGUAUUACUGAUAUUAGUUCUAUCAGCUCACAUUUUCCUUCAUUAUUUCAAAUGCUUUUCAAAAGAUGAAACUGAAGCAAAGGGAAGUUAGCUGCCAGAUUGACAUGGGCAAGGUAUUUCCAGGUACCACUACUCUUAUCCCUAGGACUUGAUAUCUGAUGCAGCAGUGUGGUUUUGGCACCCUGUAUCCUUCUUUAUAGCAUGUAUUUUUAGGUAGAUGUGUUGCUGGAUGGAUAGAAGGAUGAAUGAAUUGAAGGUCAGGUAGAAGCAAUGACUGUUGGAUAAAUGAGCGGAUAAAGGGAUAGAUAAUAAUGGAUGGAUGGAUACUGAAGAAUAGAUUGAGAGAUGAAUGGGUAGUGAAGGGUCCCUAGGUAGCAAAAGAGUUAUGUAUGCAUG